AACGAACGCUGGCGGCAUGCCUAACACAUGCAAGUCGAACGAGACCUUCGGGUCUAGUGGCGCACGGGUGCGUAACGCGUGGGAACCUGCACUUAGGUUCGGAAUAACUCUCCGAAAGGGGUGCUAAUACCGGAUAAUGUCUUCGGACCAAAGAUUUAUCGCCUUUGGAUGGGCCCGCGUUGGAUUAGCUAGUUGGUAGGGUAAAAGCCUACCAAGGCGACGAUCCAUAGCUUGUCUGAGAGGAUGAUCAGCCACACUGGGACUGAGACACGGCCCAGACUCCUACGGGAGGCAGCAGUGGGGAAUAGUGGACAGUGGGCGAAAGCCUGAUCCAGCAAUGCCGCGUGAGUGAUGAAGGCCUUAGAGUUGUAAAGCUCUUUUACCCGGGAUGAUAAUGACAGUACCGGGAGAAUAAGCUCCGGCUAACUCCGUG
rnacentral:rRNA from 1 species